GUGAUAUUUUAAAGAAAAGAUUUCACAAAUUCAGUUUAUAAAUCCAACUUUCAACAAGUCUGAGAAAGAAAGAACUCUCCAGCAUGGAAACCUGGCCAUCAUUUGCUGUGAACACUCGUGUGCCUGAAAGCACUCGAUAUAGAACGGCCCUGAGUGAGCAUACUCGGGCAUACAUCUGUGCUGCAUCAUAUCUACUGGACAGACACACCAGGCAGAGGCUACAACAAAAGAAUUCGCCCAGGAACAUAGUCUAUCUAGGUCAGCAUUCUCUCACAUCUACAGUGCAGUCCACAAGUACAGAAAUCGAUAAAGAGCAUGACGUGGAAUUAUCAUUCUUCAAGUUACAGGUGAUUAUGUCCCCAAAAGAAUGCAAUAAUUCCUUUAAUUUUACCUCCACUUAAAUUCCAUUUUCUACUUUUCUCUCUUGCCAGAAGUACAGUAAUUAUUCCAGACCUAGGCUCUGUGCUAAACGUCUGGGAAUAGUUUACUUGCUUGAUCUGUUCUUCACAGUAAGACGUACAACAGUGGUCUUCCACCAUCUGGGUUCAUUGUAUGUAAAUCUUCCCACUGCUCCACCAGAGCUGGUCGCAUACUCCAAAAUACA
rnacentral:lncRNA from 1 species